CCUACGGGAGACAGCAGUGAGGAAUAUUGGUCAAUGGACGAGAGUCUGAACCAGCCAAGUAGCGUGAAGGAUGACUGCCCUAUGGGUUGUAAACUUCUUUUAUAUGGGAAUAAAAUGUUCCACGUGUGGGAUUUUGUAUGUACCAUAUGAAUAAGGAUCGGCUAACUCCGUGCCAGCAGCCGCGGUAAUACGGAGGAUCCGAGCGUUAUCCGGAUUUAUUGGGUUUAAAGGGAGCGUAGGUGGAUUGUUAAGUCAGUUGUGAAAGUUUGCGGCUCAACCGUAAAAUUGCAGUUGAAACUGGCAGUCUUGAGUACAGUAGAGGUGGGCGGAAUUCGUGGUGUAGCGGUGAAAUGCUUAGAUAUCACGAAGAACUCCGAUUGUGAAGGCAGUUCACUGGACUGCAACUGACACUGAGGCUCGAAAGUGUGGGUAUCAAACAGGAUUAGAUACCCGGGUAGUC
rnacentral:rRNA from 1 species